GCGAGUGUAGUUCAAUGGUAGAACCCCAGCCUUCCAAGCUGGUGAUGUCGGUUCGAUCCCGAUCACUCGCUCGA
rnacentral:tRNA from 2 species